rnacentral:rRNA from 1 species
CCUACGUGUGGCAGCAGUGAGGAAUAUUGGUCAAUGGGCGCUAGCCUGAACCAGCCAAGUAGCGUGAAGGAUGACUGCCCUAUGGGUUGUAAACUUCUUUUAUAUGGGAAUAAACUGCAGUCUGUAUACUGCUUUGCAUGUACCUUAUGAAUAAGGAUCGGCUAACUCCGUGCCAGCAGCCGCGGUAAUACGGAGGAUCCGAGCGUUAUCCGGAUUUAUUGGGUUUAAAGGGAGCGUAGGCGGUAUGUUAAGUCAGUGGUGAAAUGUUGCGGCUCAACCGUGAAAUUGCAGUUGAUACUGGCAUGCUUGAGUACAGGAGAAGUAUGCGGAAUGCGUGGUGUAGCGGUGAAAUGCAUAGAGAUCACGCAGAACCCCGAUUGCGAAGGCAGCAUGCCGGCUUCCGACUGACGCUGAAGCACGAAAGCGUGGGGAUCGAACAGGAUUAGAUACCCUGGUAGUC